rnacentral:rRNA from 1 species
UACAGAGGGGGCAAGCGUUGUUCGGAAUUACUGGGCGUAAAGGGCGCGUUGGCGGCCGCCUAAGUCAGACGUGAAAUCCCUCGGCUCAACCGGGGAACUGCGUCUGAGACUGGGAGGCUUGAAUCCGGGAGAGGAAUGCGGAAUUCCAGGUGUAGCGGUGAAAUGCGUAGAUAUCUGGAGGAACACCGGUGGCGAAGGCGGCAUUCUGGGCCGGCAUUGACGCUGAGGCGCGAAAGCCAGGGGAGCAAACGGG